GAUGAACGCUGGCGGCGUGCCUAAUACAUGCAAGUCGAGCGAACAGACGAGGAGCUUGCUCCUCUGACGUUAGCGGCGGACGGGUGAGUAACACGUGGAUAACCUACCUAUAAGACUGGGAUAACUUCGGGAAACCGGAGCUAAUACCGGAUCAUAUAUUGAACUGCAUGGUUCAAUAGUGAAAGACGGUUUUGCUGUCACUUAUAGAUGGAUCCGCGCCGCAUUAGCUAGUUGGUAAGGUAACGGCUUACCAAGGCAACGAUGCGUAGCCGACCUGAGAGGGUGAUCGGCCACACUGGAACUGAGACACGGUCCAGACUCCUACGGGAGGCAGCAGUAGGGAAUCUUCCGCAAUGGGCGAAAGCCUGACGGAGCAACGCCGCGUGAGUGAUGAAGGUCUUCGGAUCGUAAAACUCUGUUAUUAGGGAAGAACAAAUGUGUAAGUAACUAUGCACGUCUUGACGGUACCUAAUCAGAAAGCCACGGCUAACUACGUG
rnacentral:rRNA from 1 species